GUUAAAGUUUUAUAGGGUUCCGCAGAAUAAUAUCUGGUCUGGUCCAAGAUAAAACGCACAGUGUAUCUGUGUUCACGGAAGGACAAAAGCCUGGGAGAU
rnacentral:sRNA from 2 species